GGCAGACCAGGCAUAUUGGUUCUUCCUCAAGCCUUUCUGUUUUGCAUUUGAAUUGAAAUUAUAACUUAGCAAAUGCUAGGAUUUUGGAUUAUCUGCUUGCUGGUAUCAUCAUUUCAUACUGUUUGUCAUCUAUGUAUUACCAUAGCCUAUUAGAUGAGUCGAAGCUAGUGUUGAGUUCAGAAGUGACACACAACAGUAACACCACAUAGAUGGUGUACUAUGACAAUUUUUCAGUUAAAACAUUAGAAAGGCUGUUGAAUGACCAAUAAACUUAGCUCAGUGGUAUUGGAGUCAUCUCCAGGAUUGUAAGGUCUUGAGUUCAAAUUCUAAUUGGAGCCAAAUAAACCAAAAAGAAAAGUCCUUUGAAUGAUUUAGGAAAGGUUACAUUUUUAUGGUGAGCAGAUCUCUAGCAAUUAUGGAUUUAGGAUUUUGAAUGAAGGAAGAACGGGAGAGUUUGAGCUAAGGAAAUUGAUUCAGAGCUUGUUAGAGUGAGAAAAAAGACAAAAAGAAAUUGGAGAUUGUUGAGGCUGUGAACAUUAUCCAAGGUAGUGUAGCAGUCGAGGGGAAGGAGGAGAGGAAGAGAGAAGAGGGAAGAGAAAACUGGCACCAGGCCUUUCAAAACAAGUCCUCAAUAUCAUUAUGAAAACCUAAGAAAUUACGUAUGUGUUUCUAGAGCUAACACAACGCCUACUAGGAUUAGGAAUUCCCAAACUUGGAAUAUUCUAAACAAGUACUGGAUAGUAUGAGCAAACAACCUUUUAAAAAUUCUUAAUGACUAUAAAUAUUCCUAAGUAGUACUAAACCCUAAGCUUCAUAUAUAGCAAUUUGCAAGAAAAAUCCGAAUUUUACAACUAAAAAUUAAAUAGAAAUAAUCCUUAAAUCUUGUUUUCCAUGAAUUGAUCAUUGUGGCAAGCCAUUUUUUACUCAUCCUCCAAAAUUGUGGUCUUCGGGGAACAACAGAGCAUGUAAAUAGUUAUGCAAUUUUGUAGAUGCUUAGUUUUUUUUAUUAGUACUGAUUAUUGGCUCACUUCUACU
rnacentral:misc_RNA from 1 species